UUAAGUUAUUAAGGGCGCACGGUGGAUGCCUUGGCACUAGAAGCCGAUGAAGGACGUUACUAACGACGAUAUGCUUUGGGGAGCUGUAAGUAAGCUUUGAUCCAGAGAUUUCCGAAUGGGGAAACCCAGCAUGAGUUAUGUCAUGUUAUCGAUAUGUGAAUACAUAGCAUAUCAGAAGGCACACCCGGAGAACUGAAACAUCUUAGUACCCGGAGGAAGAGAAAGAAAAUUCGAUUCCCUUAGUAGCGGCGAGCGAAACGGGAAGAGCCCAAACCAACAAGCUUGCUUGUUGGGGUUGUAGGACACUCUAUACGGAGUUACAAAGGACGACAUUAGACGAAUCAUCUGGAAAGAUGAAUCAAAGAAGGUAAUAAUCCUGUAGUCGAAAAUGUUGUCUCUCUUGAGUGGAUCCUGAGUACGACGGAGCACGUGAAAUUCCGUCGGAAUCUGGGAGGACCAUCUCCUAAGGCUAAAUACUCUCUAGUGACCGAUAGUGAACCAGUACCGUGAGGGAAAGGUGAAAAGCACCCCGGAAGGGGAGUGAAAUAGAACCUGAAACCGUGUGCUUACAAGUAGUCAGAGCCCGUUAAUGGGAGAUGGCGUGCCUUUUGUAGAAUGAACCGGCGAGUUACGAUUUGAUGCAAGGUUAAGCAGUAAAUGUGGAGCCGUAGCGAAAGCGAGUCUGAAUAGGGCGUUUAGUAUUUGGUCGUAGACCCGAAACCAGGUGAUCUACCCUUGGUCAGGUUGAAGUUCAGGUAACACUGAAUGGAGGACCGAACCGACUUACGUUGAAAAGUGAGCGGAUGAACUGAGGGUAGCGGAGAAAUUCCAAUCGAACCUGGAGAUAGCUGGUUCUCUCCGAAAUAGCUUUAGGGCUAGCCUCAAGUGAUGAUUAUUGGAGGUAGAGCACUGUUUGGACGAGGGGCCCCUCUCGGGUUACCGAAUUCAGACAAACUCCGAAUGCCAAUUAAUUUAACUUGGGAGUCAGAACAUGGGUGAUAAGGUCCGUGUUCGAAAGGGAAACAGCCCAGACCACCAGCUAAGGUCCCAAAAUAUAUGUUAAGUGGAAAAGGAUGUGGCGUUGCCCAGACAACUAGGAUGUUGGCUUAGAAGCAGCCAUCAUUUAAAGAGUGCGUAAUAGCUCACUAGUCGAGUGACACUGCGCCGAAAAUGUACCGGGGCUAAACAUAUUACCGAAGCUGUGGAUUGUCCUUUGGACAAUGGUAGGAGAGCGUUCUAAGGGCGUUGAAGCAUGAUCGUAAGGACAUGUGGAGCGCUUAGAAGUGAGAAUGCCGGUGUGAGUAGCGAAAGACGGGUGAGAAUCCCGUCCACCGAUUGACUAAGGUUUCCAGAGGAAGGCUCGUCCGCUCUGGGUUAGUCGGGUCCUAAGCUGAGGCCGACAGGCGUAGGCGAUGGAUAACAGGUUGAUAUUCCUGUACCACCUAUAAUCGUUUUAAUCGAUGGGGGGACGCAGUAGGAUAGGCGAAGCGUGCGAUUGGAUUGCACGUCUAAGCAGUAAGGCUGAGUAUUAGGCAAAUCCGGUACUCGUUAAGGCUGAGCUGUGAUGGGGAGAAGACAUUGUGUCUUCGAGUCGUUGAUUUCACACUGCCGAGAAAAGCCUCUAGAUAGAAAAUAGGUGCCCGUACCGCAAACCGACACAGGUAGUCAAGAUGAGAAUUCUAAGGUGAGCGAGCGAACUCUCGUUAAGGAACUCGGCAAAAUGACCCCGUAACUUCGGGAGAAGGGGUGCUCUUUAGGGUUAACGCCCAGAAGAGCCGCAGUGAAUAGGCCCAAGCGACUGUUUAUCAAAAACACAGGUCUCUGCUAAACCGUAAGGUGAUGUAUAGGGGCUGACGCCUGCCCGGUGCUGGAAGGUUAAGAGGAGUGGUUAGCUUCUGCGAAGCUACGAAUCGAAGCCCCAGUAAACGGCGGCCGUAACUAUAACGGUCCUAAGGUAGCGAAAUUCCUUGUCGGGUAAGUUCCGACCCGCACGAAAGGCGUAACGAUUUGGGCACUGUCUCAACGAGAGACUCGGUGAAAUCAUAGUACCUGUGAAGAUGCAGGUUACCCGCGACAGGACGGAAAGACCCCGUGGAGCUUUACUGUAGCCUGAUAUUGAAAUUCGGCACAGCUUGUACAGGAUAGGUAGGAGCCUUUGAAACGUGAGCGCUAGCUUACGUGGAGGCGCUGGUGGGAUACUACCCUAGCUGUGUUGGCUUUCUAACCCGCACCACUUAUCGUGGUGGGAGACAGUGUCAGGCGGGCAGUUUGACUGGGGCGGCGCCUCCUAAAAGGUAACGGAGGCGCUCAAAGGUUCCCUCAGAAUGGUUGGAAAUCAUUCAUAGAGUGUAAAGGCAUAAGGGAGCUUGACUGCGAGACCUACAAGUCGAGCAGGGUCGAAAGACGGACUUAGUGAUCCGGUGGUUCCGCAUGGAAGGGCCAUCGCUCAACGGAUAAAAGCUACCCCGGGGAUAACAGGCUUAUCUCCCCCAAGAGUUCACAUCGACGGGGAGGUUUGGCACCUCGAUGUCGGCUCAUCGCAUCCUGGGGCUGUAGUCGGUCCCAAGGGUUGGGCUGUUCGCCCAUUAAAGCGGUACGCGAGCUGGGUUCAGAACGUCGUGAGACAGUUCGGUCCCUAUCCGUCGUGGGCGUAGGAAAUUUGAGAGGAGCUGUCCUUAGUACGAGAGGACCGGGAUGGACAUACCUCUGGUGUACCAGUUGUCGUGCCAACGGCAUAGCUGGGUAGCUAUGUGUGGACGGGAUAAGUGCUGAAAGCAUCUAAGCAUGAAGCCCCCCUCAAGAUGAGAUUUCCCAACUUCGGUUAUAAGAUCCCUCAAAGAUGAUGAGGUUAAUAGGUUCGAGGUGGAAGCAUGGUGACAUGUGGAGCUGACGAAUACUAAUCGAUCGAAGACUUAAUCAA
rnacentral:rRNA from 1 species